rnacentral:rRNA from 1 species
UACGUAGGGUGCGAGCGUUGUUCGGAAUUACUGGGCGUAAAGGGCUCGUAGGCGGCCAACUAAGUCGGAUGUGAAAUCCCCAGGCUUAACCUGGGAACUGCAUCCGAUACUGGAUGGCUUGAAUCCGGGAGAGGGAUGCAGAAUUCCAGGUGUGGCGGUGAAAUGCGUAGAUAUCUGGAGGAACACCGGUGGCGAAGGCGGCAUCCUGGACCGGCAUUGACGCUGAGGCGCGAAAGCCAGGGGAGCAAACGGG